rnacentral:rRNA from 1 species
AUGCAAGCUAGAGAAGAGCUCGAUGACUUACAAACAUCCCUGGCUUCGGUGGAGCCCACGGAGGUUAACGAUGCCUGGCGGCUGAUUUGGGGUGCGGAGGAGCUCGCCUCCAGCAAAUACUAUCUGCACUGUUUUCGGGACAUGGAAGCGGACGAUGCGUUCACGUGGAUCUGGAAAUCUAAUUGCACCAACAAAUGGAAGGUUUUUGCAUGGCUACUUCUUGCGGAUAGGCUGAACACUCGGGGACUGCUCAAGAGGAAGCAGAUGAAGCUAAGGGAUGACAACUAUGCGUGCCUUCUGUGUCACAAUCCUCCAGAGGAAACGGUUGAACAUCUAUUCUUUCACUGUGAAUUUAGUCAAACAUGUUGGGGGAAGUUGGGGAUCACGUGGCCUCUCCAUGGCAACCGGGUGCAACUUUUGCAUGCAGCUAAAGGCACGUGGGGCAGACCAAUGUUCAUGGAUGUCUUCAUCAUCGCCUCCUGGACCAUUUGGAAGGAACGUAACAAUAAACUGUUCAGAAGUGUGGCGCCGACCGUCGAGGGGUGGACCCAGAGAUUCAAAAUGGACUUUGGCAUGAUGAGACACAUGACCAAUCAGGCCUUGGUGCCUUUCAUUGACCAAGUGGUUGACCUGAUCUAG